rnacentral:miRNA from 1 species
GACGUCGAAUAUCGACGUCAUCAAAACCAAAGUUGAUCGUAUUUAUGACGUCGAAUAUCGACGUCAUAAACACCUAAGUUGAUCGUGGUUAUGACGUCAAAUAUCGACGUCAUAAACACCGAAGUUGAUCGUGUUUAUGACGUCGAAUAUCGACGUCAUAAACGCCAAAGUUGAUCGUGUAUAUGACGUCGAAUAUCGACGUCAUCAAAACCAAAGUUGAUCGUAUUUAUGACGUCGAAUAUCGACGUC